GACUAAACUGUAGAAGGUAUUAGAACAUUAUUUGUGGACGCGGGUUCAAUUCCCGCCAUCUCCACCA
rnacentral:tRNA from 1 species